rnacentral:misc_RNA from 1 species
CUUUUUAGGGAGACCUACACCCCUCAAAUAUUGAAAGCAAAGUGCAAAUAAAUAUUGAGAUGGUCAAACCUAGGUCGGUCGAGGUUGGUAAAUAGCUUUCAAAGUGUUAGUGGUUCAGUAGGUAUCUAAAAACUAAGGAAAAUUCAGCAACAUGGCUAUAGCCAGACUGCUGGGUAAGAAUCCAGCCAGAACCUUGAAAACUGCAUAGGAAUGCGAAAAAAGCAGGCAGACACAGACAUUAGUGAGUACUAAGUCGUGGGUACUGAUUAAAAUCAGUGUUACUUAGAUGAAGUAGUCAAAAAAUAUUGUGUUUGCAAUAGAAGCCAAUAGUUGU